UCAGAGUUGCAAACUCCCUACAACCCUUGUGAACAUACCUAACAUGUUGCUUCGGCGGCAGGGGUCCCCGGGACCCCCCCCCCCCCAGGGACGUGCCCGCCGGAGGACCACUAACUCUAGUUUUUAGCGACUGUUCCUCUCUGAGUGUCACUAAGCUAAUAAGUA
rnacentral:misc_RNA from 1 species